CAUAGCUUCACCAUAGAUACACAACCAGAAAAACCUACUAUGGGCACUUAAUAGGUCAAAGGCCCUUGGUUCUCCAACAGAGAAUUUAUCUACAAAA